UGAGUAAUACAUCGGAACGUGCCCUGUAGUGGGGGAUAACUAGUCGAAAGAUUAGCUAAUACCGCAUACGACCUGAGGGUGAAAGUGGGGGACCGCAAGGCCUCAUGCUAUAGGAGCGGCCGAUGUCUGAUUAGCUAGUUGGUGAGGUAAAGGCUCACCAAGGCGACGAUCAGUAGCUGGUCUGAGAGGACGAUCAGCCACACUAGGACUGAGACACGGCCCAGACUCCUACGGGAGGCAGCAGUGGGGAAUUUUGGACAAUGGGGGCAACCCUGAUCCAGCAAUGCCGCGUGUGUGAAGAAGGCCUUCGGGUUGUAAAGCACUUUUGUCCGGAAAGAAAUCGCACUUACUAAUCUUAGGUGUGGGGACGUACCGAAGAUA
rnacentral:rRNA from 1 species